ACGUCAUCCCCACCUUCCUCCGGUUUGUCACCGGCAGUCUCACAUGAGUCCCCAACUUAAUGCUGGCAACAUGCGACGGGGGUUGCGCUCGUUGCGGGACUUAACCCAACAUCUCACGACACGAGCUGACGACAGCCAUGCACCACCUGUGAUCCUGCCCCGAAGGGAAGCCCUGUUUCCAGAGCGGUCAGGAACAUGUCAAGCCCAGGUAAGGUUCUUCGCGUUGCGUCGAAUUAAACCACAUGCUCCGCUGCUUGUGCGGGUCCCCGUCAAUUCCUUUGAGUUUUAGCCUUGCGGCCGUACUCCCCAGGCGGGGCACUUAAUGCGUUAGCUUCGGCACGGAGGGAGUCGACACCCCCCACACCUAGUGCCCAUCGUUUACAGCGUGGACUACCAGGGU
rnacentral:misc_RNA from 1 species